rnacentral:rRNA from 1 species
UACGUAGGUGGCAAGCGUUAUCCGGAAUUAUUGGGCGUAAAGAGCGCGCAGGUGGUUAAUUAAGUCUGAUGUGAAAUCCCCGGGCUUAACCUGGGAACCGCAUAUGUGACUGCUUGGCUAGAGUGCGUCAGAGGGAGGUGGAAUUCCACGUGUAGCAGUGAAAUGCGUAGAUAUGUGGAAGAACACCGAUGGCGAAGGCAGCCUCCUGGGACGCAACUGACGCUCAUACACGAAAGCGUGGGGAGCAAACAGG